AAAAUGUCCUCAAUUCAUUGUUUCUGAUUGACCAGAUCAAAUUCUUUGAGUAACAUACUACACUUCUUGCAUGGUUUCAAACAUGAUAUUAGCGACAAUUUUAUUUUAAUAUUAUUAGAAUCAUCACUUAUAGAUUUCUAAUGAUAUCUUCAAUCAAAUAACAAGUUUUGUGGGGUCCAACGUGCUCUAAAUGUAAUUUUAGCUGCGAUUUUGAUCGUUUUACAAAAAAAAUAAUUAUCCCGGGACAAAGUUGCCCCGGGGCAAAGUGUUCACAUGAGGAAAAGUUGUCCCGGCUAGGCGAGUGUCCCAGUCUACAGAGGCGAGGCACUCGGGUCAAUUCUUGUCCCGGGACAAGUCAAAUAUCAUGUGAACAGCACUAUUCUUUUACUAAGGAGCCGAGACAAUUUUUGUCCCGCGACAAUUGCUUGCCCCGAGACAUAACGCUGUCCCGGGUUCAUGUGAACAGGGCCUAAAGGUAAUCCAAGUUUGUCAUGCGUUACGUAUCAUACCGCUGAAUAUAUUUCGAGGAAAAUGAAAAAGAAUCAUAAAUUUUCAUUGUCGCUUCCACAACAAACGGCGUUCAUACCAUAGAUAUCUUAUAUACACUAGAUAGUGCAUCUAAUUAUUAUUAAAUUCAAAAAUCGAAGCCGUGAUUGCAGGGUUGUGAUAUUCCCAUGAAAUGAGAAGACUCGUAUGUUUUCUAUUUCUUAAACAGGGAACUUAAACAUUAAGUUAAACCUAUUCCAAAUACAUUUUCAAACUAUUCAAAUGAUGAAAGUUAUUGUUAUUAUGCGUUUAUUAGCGAGUGAGAAACUCCAACAUGGCCGCCAUCUAUUCAAAUGGGAGUAACCGCUGGAAUAUUCUUGGCUUGAAUUUUGCUAAAAGAAAUGCGCUAUCUGGUGUAUAUAAGAUAUCAAUGGUUCAUACAUUGACAAGUAAUUACAGGUAUCUUGGUCUUUUGUCACAAAAUCUGUUUUGUUAUAUACGAUAAAAUUUUGAAACGAUCACCUUUAAUUUAUAUACACUCUUGUUUUCAGGUCAAGGACUGUAUUUUGAGAGUUUUUUGACAGUUUAGUGGUCAAUAUUUGCCUACUUUUAUACAGACCUGGCUUGAACAGUGGCGUAACGCUCAUUGGCUAGGGUUAGUUAAAAAAAAUUGGGGCCCCGACAGUUAGGGACCCCAUUAACCACGGCCUAUCGUCCAGAAAAUUAGAAAACAUAAAAUAUGCAGGUUAAGAAUCAAUUGGGAA